rnacentral:rRNA from 1 species
AAUCAACGCUGGCGGCGUGCCUAACACAUGCAAGUCGAACGCGACUGGGGCUUCGGCCUCAGUUGAGUGGCGAACGGGUGAGUAACACGUGGGUGACCUACCUUCGAAUGGGGGAUAACGUCCCGAAAGGGACGCUAAUACCGCAUAACAUCCUGCCUUUGAACAGGCGGAGAUCAAAGCCGGGGAUCGCAAGACCUGGCGUUUGAAGAGGGGCCUGCGUCCGAUUAGCUAGUUGGGGAGGU